rnacentral:rRNA from 1 species
CAGCCGCCGCGGUAAUACGUAGGUGGCAAGCGUUGUCCGGAAUUAUUGGGCGUAAAGGGCUCGCAGGCGGUUUCUUAAGUCUGAUGUGAAAGCCCCCGGCUCAACCGGGGAGGGUCAUUGGAAACUGGGAAACUUGAGUGCAGAAGAGGAGAGUGGAAUUCCACGUGUAGCGGUGAAAUGCGUAAAGAUGUGGAGGAACACCAGUGGCGAAGGCGACUCUCUGGUCUGUAACUGACGCUGAGGAGCGAAAGCGUGGGGAGCGAACAGGAUUAGAUACCCCGGUAGUCCCUGUCUCUUAUAC